rnacentral:misc_RNA from 1 species
GAAAUGCGAUACGUAGUGUGAAUUGCAGAAUUCCGUGAACCAUCGAAUCUUUGAACGCAUAUUGCGCUCGAGCCCUCGGGCAAGAGCAUGUCUGCCUCAGCGUCGGUUUACACCCUCACCCCUCCCACUUUUGUUGGGUGUGUUGGCUUCUAUGCCAGCCAUAGGGGUGGAUCUGGCUUCCCCAAUUCGCUGUAGUGGAUUGGGUUGGCUGAAGUAUAGAGGCUUAAGCAAGGACCCGAUAUGGGCUUCAACUGGAUAGGUAGCACCGGCUUCGCCGACUACACGAAGUUGUUGCUUGUGGAUCUUGCUAGAGGCCAAGCAGGAACGUGCCUUUGGCAUGUCUAAACUUUCGACCUGAGCUCAGGCAAGGCUACCCGCUGAACUUAAGC